rnacentral:rRNA from 1 species
AUUGAACGCUGGCGGCAGGCCUAACACAUGCAAGUCGAACGGUAACAGGAAACAGCUUGCUGUUUCGCUGACGAGUGGCGGACGGGUGAGUAAUGUCUGGGAAACUGCCUGAUGGAGGGGGAUAACUACUGGAAACGGUAGCUAAUACCGCAUAACGUCGCAAGACCAAAGAGGGGGACCCUCGGGCCUCUUGCCAUCGGAUGUGCCCAGAUGGGAUUAGCUUGUUGGUGGGGUAACGGCUCACCAAGGCGACGAUCCCUAGCUGGUCUGAGAGGAUGACAAGCCACACUGGAACUGAGACACGGUCCAGACUCCUACGGGAGGCAGCAGUGGGGAAUAUUGCACAAUGGGCGCAAGCCUGAUGCAGCCAUGCCGCGUGUAUGAAGAAGGCCUUCGGGUUGUAAAGUACUUUCAGCGGGGAGGAAGGGAGUAAAGUUAAUACCUUUGCUCAUUGACGUUACCCGCAGAAGAAGCACCGGCUAACUCCGUG